rnacentral:rRNA from 1 species
UACGUAGGUGGCGAGCGUUAUCCGGAAUGAUUGGGCGUAAAGGGUGCGUAGGCGGCCUGCUAAGUCUGGAGUGAAAGGUACCGGCUCAACUGGUACAGGCUCUGGAAACUGGCGGGCUAGAGAGCAGGAGAGGGCGGUGGAACUCCAUGUGUAGCGGUAAAAUGCGUAGAUAUAUGGAAGAACACCAGUGGCGAAAGCGGCUCUCUGGCCUGUAACUGACACUGAGGCUCGAAAGCGUGGGGAGCAAACAGG